rnacentral:misc_RNA from 1 species
AAACAUUUAUUAAUGACCACAAUUAUUUAAGAUGUAGAUUUAGAACUAUGUCUUUAUAUCACUUGUAAAUAGUAUUUAAUGUAUUUGAUUAACACUUCAUCAGACUUAGUUUGUGGACUUGUGCUAGUGGUGUGUUUUUUUGCUAAAGAUCUAUGUAUCUAUACAUUACUCAAGAAUGUUUUUGAAGACUAAACUAACAUUGUUGCAAGGUGAAAAUAUUCUACAAAUAUGUUACAUUAGAGUGUGCCAAGUUAUACUAAUUAUUAUUUGCAUUAUUAUUGUAUUUUUUUUUCUUUUUUAUUCUAACAUUUUACUAAUCCAAAGCCAGCUCACAAACUUUGAAAAAAAAACCCUAAUUACAGGGAAGGCAUCUUAAAGCUCUCAAACAUUCCUGUGUUUUGAUGCUGCCUAUGAAUUACAUUCCCAAUUUUUACAGUAUACUUAACUUCACUGUUGACUUGGCUCACACAAGCUCAAACUUGGUCAUUUGUAUUCUUGUCUGCUAUGGAAAGCUCAUGAUUUAUUUGUUUCUUAGUGAUGAGCUUAUACUUAUAGUUUUCUCUCACUCACUAGCUGAUGAACACUUUGAAAACAUUACGGCUAAAUUAUAAAUUUCUUUUGUCAAUGUUGAAACAACAAAUGAUAUUUUUUUCCUACAGUGAUUUCUGGGAAAUCCAUCCUAAUUCAAAUCUACAACCUUGUAUUAUAUGUAAAAAUGCACAUUGUUUUUCUUCUGAAUAAAGUAGAAACAAGC